CCCCUAGUAACUGCGAGUGAAGCGGGAAAAGCUCAAAUUUGAAAUCUGGCGGCUCCGUCGCCCGAGUUGUAUUCUGGAGAAGCGUCUUCCGCGCCGGACCGUGUACAAGUCCCUUGGAACAGGGCGUCAUAGAGGGUGAGAAUCCCGUCUUUGGCACGGACUCCCGGUGCUCUGCGAUGCGCUCUCGAAGAGUCGAGUUGUUUGGGAAUGCAGCUCAAAAUGGGUGGUAAAUUCCAUCUAAAGCUAAAUAUUGGCGAGAGACCGAUAGCGAACAAGUACCGUGAGGGAAAGAUGAAAAGCACUUUGGAAAGAGAGUAAAACAGUACGUGAAAUUGUUGAAAGGGAAACGCUUGAAGUCAGUCGCGUCUUCUGGAACUCAGCCUUGCUUCUGCUCGGUGCACUUUCCAGUUCGACGGGCCAGCAUCGGUUUCGGGCGGUGGACACUGGCGAGGGGAAGGUGGCAGCUCCGGCUGCGUUAUAGCCCCUCGUCGCAAACUCCGCCUGGGACCGAGGAAUCCGGCGCGAGCCUGGGAUGCUGGCGUAAUGGCUUUAAACGACCCGUCUUGAAACACGGACCAAGGAGUGCUACACGCUCGCGAGUGUUUGGGUGGCAAACCCGAGCGCGCAAUGAAAGUG
rnacentral:rRNA from 1 species